UUUAUCACCUAAAAAUAACAAUCAAGUUGGUGAUGAAAACAAAGUUGUAACUCAAGCUGACACUUUUACGACAGAUCCUAUUUUAAAAAGUGGAAAUGAUCAGACAUCUGAUAUCGAUGCACUGUGCUCGUCAGGAACUCCGAAUUUCAUGAAAUCCAGUGGAGAAACUGUGAGCAACUCACAGUCAACAUCAGUGUCAGAGUUUGAGGGAACUGGAAGAUAUUACGAGCCAAAAAAUAUCCGAGGAACUAUUAGUAUUUUCACUGAUGAUGUUGUUGCUGCCUUUGACAGCUGUAAAAUUUCUUAUCGAGGAUCGGUUCGACUUGUUUCAGCUUUGGCACCGGCUCUAGGAUUGAAUCCUCAUG